rnacentral:rRNA from 1 species
GAUGAACGCUGGCGGCGUGCUUAACACAUGCAAGUCGAACGAUGAAGCCCAGCUUGCUGGGUGGAUUAGUGGCGAACGGGUGAGUAACACGUGAGUAACCUGCCCUUGACUCUGGGAUAAGCCUGGGAAACUGGGUCUAAUACUGGAUAUGACUUCUCAUCGCAUGGUGGGGGGUGGAAAGAUUUAUUGGUCUUGGAUGGACUCGCGGCCUAUCAGCUUGUUGGUGAGGUAAUGGCUCACCAAGGCGACGACGGGUAGCCGGCCUGAGAGGGUGACCGGCCACACUGGGACUGAGACACGGCCCAGACUCCUACGGGAGGCAGCAGUGGGGAAUAUUGCACAAUGGGCGCAAGCCUGAUGCAGCGACGCCGCGUGAGGGAUGACGGCCUUCGGGUUGUAAACCUCUUUCAGUAGGGAAGAAGCGAGAGUGACGGUACCUGCAGAAGAAACGCCGGCUAACUACGU